UUCUACCAACCUGUUUCUUGAAAUUGUAUGAUUAAUGUAUCUAAAGAAGCCUUAAAAUCCUUGGAUUCAUAUUUAAACUAUACAUUGAUUUAUUUUUAGGUUUGAAAAGUAUAAACACACUAAAGAAAAGCUGCCGAAACUUGGAACUAGAGGGCUCCAUGGUCCAUUCAUUCAUCUAAUCCUUUGUUUAUUCAACAAAUAUUUAUUAAGUUCCACUAAUCGCAAGUUUGUACCGUUAAAGAUCCCUUGGUCACGUGAAGAGUGCUCUGACUGUGAAUCAUAUACCAUUAAAAGCUGUAAACGUGUGUUUGUCUAUACAAGGAUAGAAGAUGACAAUGGGAACAGUGCUACUGUAAAGUUCAUUGCAAACAGACAGGAGAUAUAAAGAAAUGUUUCAGCAGACAUUCCCCAGAUCUCCCAGUAAGUCACUU
rnacentral:lncRNA from 1 species